AUCAACACAGUGGAGGCGAGAAGUCUGGCCUUGCGCCGGCCGGGGAGCUUUUCGCCAAGGCUCCUGUGGGAUGGGAUAGCUUGUUCUCUGGGCUGCAGGAACCAAAACAUUAGACCACCCUUUCUGUGACCUUGGGCAUGCCGCCCUCGGUUCCGAGCCGCAAGUCUUUCUUUCGGGGAAAAUGAAAAGGGGUCAAGAUUUGGACCAGAUGACACCCAAUGUCCCAUUCAACGGUCGCAUUCUGUCAUCCACAGGAAUUAGUCCUGUAUCCGAAACAUUCUCUGGUAGUCAAAAGCUGAGCCUGGAGACAGAUGGAGGGGAAGACAGAAGAGAGAUUAAGGAGAAGAAUGGUUUCAUUUGGAAGGACACUGACUAAGGAAAAACAGAGAAAAGGAUGAAACCCAAGCCAACUCUGCAACUCUAUUAAAAACACCAAGACUUCAAUAUGAACCUGGCAUGGUGGGCACAGUCGGGCACUGCAGGCGGCUUGCCUCCAGCAGAAGGAAUACUGCUACUCAGCUCUAGAUGAUUGCCCUGAAGAAAUUCAUGCCCACUGAAUCUCCUUAAAGGGAGGCAGUGCAUUCUUCAUGGCUAGAGCUUCAGCAGCUAUCUAGAACCAUAUGGUGGAAGCCACUUACUGAGAACUGUGAAACAAGAGCCUGGGUCCCUGACAUAUGAAGCCACCAUACCUACCUUAAAGUGUCUUUCACUUGAGGGAAAAAUACAUCUUUCUUAGAGAUUUGAAUUUUAAUGUCCCAGAAAUAUAAAGAAGAUGGCAUUAAAAUGUCCUAUAUGUUGGCAGUCCUACCCUGAAGACUUUUUUUGCUUAUCUUUUGUUCUGAGCUACAGUCUUCGCAGAGACUAAAUUAGUGACUGGACAACAGAAGAAAAUAGACCAUCCUGGCUAAAAUGGUGAAACCCCAUCUCUACUAAAAACACAAAAAAUUAGCUGGGCAUGUUAGCGGGUGCCUGUAGUCCCAGCUACUCGGGAGGCUGAGGCAAGAAAAUGGCGUGAACCUGGGAGGCGGAGCUUGCAGUGAGCUGAGAUCGCGCCACUGCACUCCAGCAUGGGGGAUAGAGCGAGACUCCGUCU
rnacentral:lncRNA from 1 species